CAACGACACGUUGGCGUUGGCUCCAGAAAUAAACGCUGUGGUAAACAACGCGGUGUCUCUUAGGUAAAUUCGUAUCAAAAUGGGAUUCCAUUGAAAUAGAUGCCCGUGUCAUCACAAUCAAUUCGCCCCACGAUUGUAACAGAAAAUUUAGUGGACACACAUCCGUAGCGCGGUUAGAAGGAGGAUUUGCUACAGAUUUUCUGUUUGCCUGGUGGUUGAAAAUAAUCCCUCAAAUUGCUGGAAACGAUGAGAUCACCUACACUGCCUCCACUACCAACAGCUCAGGUGGAGCCCAUGGUUGAAACUUUAUCGUAACGGGCGAAUUAUUGAUUACAGGGACGCAAAACAACUUGAAUCUCUCUCGAUGCCCUUCGUCGUUUUUCCGCACCAAAGGUACGUUGUGGUUGGAGCCCAUUUAACGAUCCAAGGGAUAUUCGCAACCUACACCUUCGAGGGGAUUGCAGCGCAAACUACAUAUUUCAACACAAGAGGCGGGAUGGAAUUCAAAGGAUGACCAGAGAUGGCAUUUUUUCUUUUCUUAAUGAAACACGAUUAUUUGUAGUCUAAUGGUUUUAUUUACAACACUAUUUACAUAAUCUUUUUUCAAAAAUAGCUAAUGUUUACAUAA